rnacentral:rRNA from 1 species
GAUGAACGCUGGCGGCGUGCCUAAUACAUGCAAGUCGAGCGAAAAGACGAGGAGCUUGCUCCUCUGACGUUAGCGGCGGACGGGUGAGUAACACGUGGAUAACCUACCUAUAAGACUGGGAUAACUUCGGGAAACCGGAGCUAAUACCGGAUAAUAUAUUGAACCGCAUGGUUCAAUAGUGAAAGACGGUUUUGCUGUCACUUAUAGAUGGAUCCGCGCCGCAUUAGCUAGUUGGUAAGGUAACGGCUUACCAAGGCAACGAUGCGUAGCCGACCUGAGAGGGUGAUCGGCCACACUGGAACUGAGACACGGUCCAUACUCCUACGGGAGGCAGCAGUAGGGAAUCUGCCGCAAUGGGCGAAAGCCUGGCGGAGCAACGCCGCGUGAGUGAUGAAGGUCUUCGGAUCGUAAAACUCUGUUAUUAGGGAAGAACAAAUGUGUAAGUAACUAUGCACGUCUUGACGGUACCUAAUCAGAAAGCCACGGCUAACUACGUG